CACCGCCCGUCACACCAUGGGAAUUGGUUCUACCUUAAGCAGGUGAGCUGACCAGCAAUGGGAGCAGCCUACCACGGUAGGGUCAGUAACUGGGGUG
rnacentral:rRNA from 1 species